UUCAAACUUAGCCAAGGUAGCAUAAAUGUCAUCUUGCAUGAGUGUCUUGACCUUGCAUACAAAUAAAAAGAAAAAUACCUUAGUAGCACUGCACUAGAUAAAAAAAAUCAAACAAAAAUCAAACUAAAAAGAGAAAGAAUAAGAAAGAAAAUUUAAGAAGAAGCAAAAAAAUAACUAAUUACAAAAAAAAUAUUUACAAUUGAAAAAAAAUAAAA
rnacentral:lncRNA from 1 species